rnacentral:rRNA from 1 species
GCAGUAGCCGCGGGAAUACGUAGGGUGCAAGCGUUAAUCGGAAUUACUGGGCGUAAAGCGUGCGCAGGCGGUUUUGUAAGACAGAGGUGAAAUCCCCGGGCUCAACCUGGGAACUGCCUUUGUGACUGCAAGGCUAGAGUACGGCAGAGGGGGAUGGAAUUCCGCGUGUAGCAGUGAAAUGCGUAGAUAUGCGGAGGAACACCGAUGGCGAAGGCAAUCCCCUGGGCCUGUACUGACGCUCAUGCACGAAAGCGUGGGGAGCAAACAGGAUUAGAUACCCCGGUAGUCCCUGUCUCUUAUAC